GCAUUUCCCACGGGUCAGCGCACGCCGACCUAUGGUCGACCGCUCGUGCGUAUACUCAGUUUUCUAAGUACUUUCCACUGUUUGAAAAGCUGUUAUUUUUGGUUGGUAAGCUAGUUACUAUAAAUAGAAGUCAAAUUACUUUUAUCAACUAACAUUUGUCAAAUUGAUUUCAAGUGUUCAAGGAAACAAGAAAGAGUGAAAUAGGUGUCCAAGAUUCAUCAU
rnacentral:lncRNA from 1 species